UACGGAGGGUGCAAGCGUUAUCCGGAUUCACUGGGUUUAAAGGGUGCGUAGGCGGGCAGGUAAGUCAGUGGUGAAAUCUCCGGGCUUAACCCGGAAACUGCCAUUGAUACUAUCUGUCUUGAAUACCCUGGAGGUGAGCGGAAUAUGUCAUGUAGCGGUGAAAUGCUUAGAUAUGACAUAGAACACCCAUUGCGAAGGCAGCUCACUACGGGAAUAUUGACGCUGAGGCACGAAAGCGUGGGGAUCAAACAGG
rnacentral:rRNA from 1 species